GUUCAGAUGAUUGCACGCUGCAGCUAACGAUCGAAUAACAUAGGCCUCUUACAGAGUGUGAACUGACUGGUGUUAACGUAGUUUUGUACUAGACCCGUUGCUGCUAGUAGCAUAACCGUUAUCUACUAACUUUAGCAUUAGCUAUAGAUACAGAAUCGCAUUAGCUGUAGAUAUCGUUUCAUAACGUUAUUGUGGUAACGCAGUUGACCACAAUAACAUUAUUGAUGCAGAUAUAAUUGUAAUGGUAUUCAUAAUCGUUAUUGUGCUCACGCUGUUGACUUAGGCGGUGAGACCCACGGGGGGUCUAUAAUGUAAGGGUAAUUGAAACACCCUUACACCCUCAACGGCCAUAAACGGUCGGCCGUUGAGGGUCUCUCGCGCCCGGCCGUUGUCAUCUAUACAGGCCGCAGUUUUAACACCCGUAAGUCAUUACAGUUACUCAAUAUUCCGUUAAAUUGAAUGUGACAGAUGCAUUCAGAGGUGAAGAUUCGCUAUUAUGGUCAAAAUAAAAUGAAUUGUAACCUGGAAGUAAGACGCCAUGAAACACUAAUGGUUUUUAACUUUAAUUUUUACUUUAGUUGAAGCUACUGUUAAGUAGUUUAGACUUGCUGUAGUGAACGAAGUGACCGUUAUCAGCCAACGGACAUAUCGGUUAACAUUUAGGUAAUUGAAUCUGUAAGCAUCGUUACUAGCAAUUGUAUGAAAAACAAUAAAAACUA